ACCCAAUGGUGUGGCCAUUGACGUAGCAGGUCCCUAAAGCGCUCCCAAGUCUUAAAAAAUAGUUCCCCGCCUAUCUGUGAGAAACUAGUGAUGUGUCUCCUAAGCU